AGCAGCCGCGGUAAUUCCAGCUCCAAUAGCGUAUAUUAAAGUUGUUGCAGUUAAAAAGCUCGUAGUUGAACUUCAGGCCUGGCUGGACGGUCCGCCCUCUGGGUGAGCACUGUCUGUGGUCGGGUCCUACCUUCUGGCGAAGCGGCAUGGCCUUAACCGGCCGUGGCGGGGAACCAGGACUUUUACUGUGAAAAAAUUAGAGUGUUCAAAGCAGGCACGCGCUUGAAUACAUUAGCAUGGAAUAAUGGAAUAGGACAAUGGUUCUAUUUGUUGGUUUCUAGGACCGUUGUAACGAUUAAUAGGGAUAGUUGGGGGCAUUAGUAUUCAAUUGUCAGAGGUGAAAUUCUUGGAUUUAUGAAGACUAACUACUGCGAAAGCAUUUGCCAAGGAUGUUUUCAUUAAUCAAGAACGAAAGUUAGGGAUCGAAGACGAUCAGAUACCGUCGUAGUCUUAACCAUAAACUAUAGACCGACUAGGGAUCGGAUGAUGUUAAUUUUUANGUACUUCAUUCGGCGCCUUA
rnacentral:rRNA from 1 species